CAUUCCUGGGUGUUCCAACCCGCAGGGUGACCUGCACCACACGCCAAAUAUUGAUGAGAAGUACUGGUGUAUUUGAGAUGCCGGAGCAGCCCCAGUCCCUUGGCUCUGUGAAAUAGAGAUUCUUGAGCAGUGCUGUUUGCUGGAGUUACGGCACUGCCUCCCCUGCUUUCUCUUACUGUAUCCCUCCUCUGUGGGCUGAACUCAUCCCAAAUGCCCCAUGUGAGAUCCCUUCUUUCAAAGGCUACUGAAAAUCAGCAGCCAUUGCCACAGAGAUAGUUAACAUGAGCCCUUCCAUGGAAAGGUCUUUUUGAUAUAUGAUAAAGUGGGGUGAAAUUCUUCAGCAUGGUGUGAGGACCGGUGUGACAGCGUGUGCUGAGCAGGGAUGGAGUGCAGCACCUCUUGCAUUUAAAUGUAUUGUAGAAUCACAGAAUCAUUAAGAUUGGAAAAGAGCUCUAAGUCCAUCUAGUCCCACCAUCAACCCAUCACCACCAUGUGCCAAAUGGAGUCUAAAACGGAGCUCGUCCUAAAAUCCAGUGGAUGUUGUUAUGGAGAAUGCCAGUGCAGAGCCCUGCAGGAUUCUCAUGCACUAACGGCUGCACAUUGUGUUUGCCGUUGCAGUUUGCGUUGCAGCACGGCGCUGGUGGAGAAGUAAGACAACCACAUUCCAGCACCACUGCAAUGACAAACAAGAGAGGGAGACCCUCUGAACCCCACGGGAGGAUAAGGAUGGUGGCACUUAGCAGGAGCAGAAUCGCAGCCCCUGGGCACGCAGCCCUUGCCCUGCUUAGCCUGACCCCCACACCUGGAACAGCAGACAGCACAGCAGUCCAACAGGUUUGGGUGAUAACUGACCUGGAAAACACCUCUUGCUUAGGAGCUCCCCAGCGUUAUCCCUGCAGGCAGCUGCCCUCAUCCAGCAUCGCUGCAGAGCAGUGGAGGGGAAUGGCACGGAGCGCAGUGCUGCCAGCAGCUGUGUGUCCCCAUCCUCAGCUGUAUGCUCCCCAAGGAGCCCUCGUGGCAGCUUCUAAGGUUCAUCGUCAGCCUCACAUCGCAUCGUGCUUUGGCUGAAAGUUGAGCUGACUGUGUGCUGUCUCUGUAGGCUCCUGGUGUGCCUCCCCUCCCCGAGCACACAGCGAUGUCUUACGGACAGGACGCGUGUGCUUUGGCUGUAUGAAAUCGUAACGUUCUUUCUAUAGGAGAAAAUAUUUAAUUUUGCUCUAAAUUCCACUAUAACCAAACUGAUCUUCAUUUAUAUCCUGGAUAAUAAAUCACAGCAACGUGAAGUCUCGUGCACAGAACUGAAGUGGUUUCUUAAAGCAAAUUUGGCAGGAAAUAAGUCAUCAUCUUGCAAAGCCGGUUCACUCUCAUACACAGCGCUCCCUGAGCUCUCUGCUCUGAGCUCCGAGCAGGCACGAAAAGUCAUCAUCUUGAAAAAUGGGGAGAGAUCUCUGAGUCGUAGCAAAGCCCUGCGAGAGACACCACAUGAUGCUGCUAUCAAAACAACACAGAACUUGGUCAGAGAAUCACCCCAUGAGUCCUCCCCGACUCCUGGGCUUGCAGUGCACGGGUACUCAGAUAUCACAAGGGCCAUUAGUUUGGCUCCUUAGAAAAAUAAGGUCGUGCUGCUCUCACAUCUUCCCUCUGUGCUUUCCCUCUUUCUUCUUUCCUCCUCAGCUAAUGUUGGGAUUUUUUUUGUUGGCUUUUUUUUUUUUUGGCCUUUCUUUCUAGUUUCCAUUUCUAUCGUGCAAACAUGCCGCGGCGAAGCGAUGUAAGCAAUGCAUAAUAUAUUUGCAGUAAUGUAUGAUUCAUUUACCAGCUUUCAUAAUUAAUGCGGAUGUGUUUUACAUACACAGAACUUCCUGCCUGCAUUUUAUGAUGUGAACACUCUUCAAAAUCUAAUAAAAUGUAAGCCAUUAAAAACAAUGGUACUUUUCCUGUUACGAGAUUUGUGUGCAGCUUUGCAGCAGGCGCUCGGUGUGAGCUGGUACUCCAAGCACUGAUUUUUUGCUGCUCCUAAUUCCAUGGGUAGAAACGAUCCGUGUUAUUCCAAUGAUACCACCGUGGCUGUGGGUAUCCUCCUGCUUUCAUACCUUGAAAACUUUCCAACCCAAAUACUUAUUCUAUCCGCUGUCUGGAGGUCAGCAACCCAGAUGAAAUUAUGCUGAAUUUGUGAAAAAGAAACUUGCAAAGGCUGUACAGCAGCAUCUGUAAAAUAUCAGUUGAGUAACGCCAGGGUUUCCACCUCCAAGAAUCCUUGUCCUUGCUUGGGGCACACACAGCUCUGGGCCCCAGCACCUUUUUGCAGUGGUAUUUCUGUGUCUAUUUCCCAUCAGUAUCAAUGCCAGGCAGGGGCUGCUGAAGAGCUCAGGCCAUGCACUUUAUCUACACAUUAUUCUCUUCCUCGGGCAAAACUGGAAACCCAAAACUAUUCCGCACCUCAUAUUGAAGCUGAGUUACCCACCGAGCUUUGUUCCUUUAUGCAGAUAGGUUUGGGAGCUCUUCGUUUCCUAUGGUCACACUAUGCAUGCGUGGAAAAUUAAUGCCAAUGACAAAACCUCUGCAAGGACAUCAGCACCCACCUGGGGAGCACCAUAGUGAGGCUGUGGAUGUCAGCAGGUGAUGCUGAGGCUUUCUGUGCAGCUGUACCUAUUUCAGUGCCAACCCUGCAGCUGCUUCUACUACAAUGCCCCUUCUCCUUAAGCCCGGAAAGUCACGGAGCUGCUCCCCUGGGCUGCCCCAACAAAGCCCCGCAGUGGCAGUAUUGGGCGAGCUGCAAUACCACAGCCCGCGCGUUAAACGGGAAAUGAAACAGAAAUGGAAAUGAACGCCCGCAUCUGUCCCGUUUUUAAGGUAAAGGCAGAAAUCACCUCGUGUCUCCCAGUCCGGCCACGUUCACCCAAGGAAGGUGGGGAGAAGUCAAUGUCCAGGGAAAAUGUGCAACCAUCAUCUGCAAACGAAGAGUGGGAAAUCCUACGGGAUACGGUGAUGGAGCAAAAGGGGGGGAUGGAAAACAUCUGUACGUCGGUUGAGCAUCGGGAGCCUUUGUGCCCGAGUCGUUUUGGAAGGCGGAGGGGCAUCGGGACUUCCCGUCCCUCCCUGUGCCCUUCCUGUGUUGCGCAGCGGUCACAGAGAAGGACGCACCGGGGAGCGCUGGGCACAGCCGUGUCCCCGAAAUUUGCACCUGCAAAGAGGGAGCGAGCCAGGCGAGGGGAAUGUGCGACCGGAUGGAGAAAUAUCGAAUGUUUCUGGCCGUGUGCGUUGCCAGAGGUUUGCACAUUUUGUCUGAAAACACCCAGAGUUAGAGGCGGAGAGGAGGGAGGGGGGAUUUUAAUAAAAACCAUUUGCCACUUGUCUUCAAUUAGAGUCCAGACAUCGAGCAAUAAGGAAAAAACCUUUUCUAAAAUAUGUAUAUUUAUAUAUAUAUAUAUUAUUAUUAUCUCGCUAGCAGUCGGGCUGAAGAGGUAAAGGCGGUUCGCACGCAACGAUUUCAGGGCAAGGAGUUAAAACGAGCGAGCGAAUUCAGGCGUCGUUGUCGCCGUUCGUGCCGGCUCCUCCUGCCCCGGCAGCUCCCCGCCUCGCCCCGGCACACGCCGCGGAGCUUCGCACCGCUUCCCCGCACGGGAAGGGCUCCUCCGCCCGCGGACGGAC
ensembl:lncRNA